UUGAUAGCGGUGGAAUCUGAAGUGCUAUAUUUUUCCACUGAUAAGGUACAACCUAGCCAGAGAUAGUGUGAUUUUUAUCUAUCUCAUCAACAGUAUGUUUUCCCAAACUUUGUUCCAAAGGAAGCAAAGGUUGUGUUUUAAAUUGAAAGUAGUCAGUGCCAAAUGAUU
ensembl:misc_RNA